GGCGAGGGGAGUGAAAAAGAACCUGAAACCGUGUACGUACAAGCAGUAGGAGCCCCACCACCAAAGCGUUUCGCUUUACGUGGUGCGCAAAAUGCGUAACGACAGCAUGAUGGACGGUUAACGGAGCGUAAGCGACGUUCAACAUCCAGAAUCAGGCAGUGGAGCGUUUUGGGGUGGGGUGACUGCGUACCUUUUGUAUAAUGGGUCAGCGACUUAUAUUCUGUAGCAAGGUUAACCGUAUAGGGGAGCCGCAGGGAAACCGAGUCUUAACUGGGCGUUAAGUUGCAGGGUAUAGACCCGAAACCCGGUGAUCUAGCCAUGGGCAGGUUGAAGGUUGGGUAACACUAACUGGAGGACCGAACCGACUAAUGUUGAAAAAUUAGCGGAUGACUUGUGGCUGGGGGUGAAAGGCCAAUCAAACCGGGAGAUAGCUGGUUCUCCCCGAAAGCUAUUUAGGUAGCGCCUCGUGAACUCAUCUUCGGGGGUAGAGCACUGUUUCGGCUAGGGGGUCAUCCCGACUUACCAACCCGAUGCAAACUACGAAUACCGAAGAAUGUUAUCACGGGAGACACACGGCGGGUGCUAACGUCCGUCGUGAAGAGGGAAACAACCCAGACCGCCAGCUAAGGUCCCAAAGUCAUGGUUAAGUGGGAAACGAUGUGGGAAGGCCCAGACAGCCAGGAUGUUGGCUUAGAAGCAGCCAUCAUUUAAAGAAAGCGUAAUAGCUCACUGGUCGAGUCGGCCUGCGCGGAAGAUGUAACGGGGCUAAACCAUGCACCGAAGCUGCGGCAGCGACACUAUGUGUUGUUGGGUAGGGGAGCGUUCUGUAAGCCGUUGAAGGUGGCCUGUGAGGGUUGCUGGAGGUAUCAGAAGUGCGAAUGCUGACAUAAGUAACGAUAAUGCGGGUGAAAAACCCGCACGCCGGAAGACCAAGGGUUCCUGUCCAACGUUAAUCGGGGCAGGGUGAGUCGACCCCUAAGGCGAGGCCGAAAGGCGUAGUCGAUGGGAAACAGGUUAAUAUUCCUGUACUCGGUGUUACUGCGAAGGGGGGACGGAGAAGGCUAUGUUGGCCGGGCGACGGUUGUCCCGGUUUAAGCAUGUAGGCGGAUGUUCCAGGUAAAUCCGGAACGUUAUCAACGCUGAGGUGUGAUGACGAGGCACUACGGUGCUGAAGUGACAAAUGCCCUGCUUCCAGGAAAAGCCUCUAAGCAUCAGGUAACAUCAAAUCGUACCCCAAACCGACACAGGUGGUCAGGUAGAGAAUACCAAGGCGCUUGAGAGAACUCGGGUGAAGGAACUAGGCAAAAUGGUGCCGUAACUUCGGGAGAAGGCACGCUGAUGGUAAGUGAAGUGACUUGCUCAUGGAGCUGAAAUCAGUCGAAGAUACCAGCUGGCUGCAACUGUUUAUUAAAAACACAGCACUGUGCAAACACGAAAGUGGACGUAUACGGUGUGACGCCUGCCCGGUGCCGGAAGGUUAAUUGAUGGGGUUAUCCUCACGGAGAAGCUCUUGAUCGAAGCCCCGGUAAACGGCGGCCGUAACUAUAACGGUCCUAAGGUAGCGAAAUUCCUUGUCGGGU
rnacentral:rRNA from 1 species